GGGUUGUGAGGUUAAGCGACUAAGCGUACACGGUGGAUGCCCUGGCAGUCAGAGGCGAUGAAGGGCGUACUAAUCUGCGAUAAGCGCCGGUAAGGUGAUAUGAACCGUUAUAACCGGCGAUACCCGAAUGGGGAAACCCAGUGUGAUUCGUCACACUAUCAUUAACUGAAUCCAUAGGUUAAUGAGGCGAACCGGGGGAACUGAAACAUCUAAGUACCCCGAGGAAAAGAAAUCAACCGAGAUUCCCCCAGUAGCGGCGAGCGAACGGGGAGGAGCCCAGAGCCUGAAUCAGCAUGUGUGUUAGUGGAAGCGUCUGGAAAGGCGCGCGAUACAGGGUGACAGCCCCGUACACAAAAGCGCAUGUGCUGUGAGCUCGAUGAGUAGGGCGGGACACGUGGUAUCCUGUCUGAAUAUGGGGGGACCAUCCUCCAAGGCUAAAUACUCCUGACUGACCGAUAGUGAACCAGUACCGUGAGGGAAAGGCGAAAAGAACCCCGGCGAGGGGAGUGAAAAAGAACCUGAAACCGUGUACGUACAAGCAGUGGGAGCACAGGUNNNNNNNNNNNNNNNCGUACCUUUUGUAUAAUGGGUCAGCGACUUAUAUUCUGUAGCAAGGUUAACCGAAUAGGGGAGCCGGAGGGAAACCGAGUCUUAAUUGGGCGUUAAGUUGCAGGGUAUAGACCCGAAACCCGGUGAUCUAGCCAUGGGCAGGUUGAAGGUUGGGUAACACUAACUGGAGGACCGAACCGACUAAUGUUGAAAAAUUAGCGGAUGACCUGUGGCUGGGGGUGAAAGGCCAAUCAAACCGGGAGAUAGCUGGUUCUCCCCGAAAGCUAUUUAGGUAGCGCCUCGUGAAUUCAUCUCCGGGGGUAGAGCACUGUUUCGGCUAGGGGGCCAUCCCGGCUUACCAACCCGAUGCAAACUGCGAAUACCGGAGAAUGUUAUCACGGGAGACACACGGCGGGUGCUAACGUCCGUCGUGAAGAGGGAAACAACCCAGACCGCCAGCUAAGGUCCCAAAGUCAUGGUUAAGUGGGAAACGAUGUGGGAAGGCCCAGACAGCCAGGAUGUUGGCUUAGAAGCAGCCAUCAUUUAAAGAAAGCGUAAUAGCUCACUGGUCGAGUCGGCCUGCGCGGAAGAUGUAACGGGGCUAAACCAUGCACCGAAGCUGCGGCAGCGACACUGUGUGUUGUUGGGUAGGGGAGCGUUCUGUAAGCCUGCGAAGGUGGCCUGUGAGGGUUGCUGGAGGUAUCAGAAGUGCGAAUGCUGACAUAAGUAACGAUAAAGCGGGUGAAAAGCCCGCUCGCCGGAAGACCAAGGGUUCCUGUCCAACGUUAAUCGGGGCAGGGUGAGUCGACCCCUAAGGCGAGGCCGAAAGGCGUAGUCGAUGGGAAACGGGUUAAUAUUCCCGUACUUGGUGUUACUGCGAAGGGGGGACGGAGAAGGCUAUGUUGGCCGGGCGACGGUUGUCCCGGUUUAAGCGUGUAGGUGUGUGUUCCAGGUAAAUCCGGUUCACUUUAACACUGAGGCGUGACGACGAGGCACUACGGUGCUGAAGCAACAAAUGCCCUGCUUCCAGGAAAAGCCUCUAAGCAUCAGGUAACAUCAAAUCGUACCCCAAACCGACACAGGUGGUCAGGUAGAGAAUACCAAGGCGCUUGAGAGAACUCGGGUGAAGGAACUAGGCAAAAUGGUGCCGUAACUUCGGGAGAAGGCACGCUGACACGUAGGUGAAGUGAUUUACUCAUGGAGCUGAAGUCAGUCGAAGAUACCAGCUGGCUGCAACUGUUUAUUAAAAACACAGCACUGUGCAAACACGAAAGUGGACGUAUACGGUGUGACGCCUGCCCGGUGCCGGAAGGUUAAUUGAUGGGGUCAGCGCAAGCGAAGCUCCUGAUCGAAGCCCCGGUAAACGGCGGCCGUAACUAUAACGGUCCUAAGGUAGCGAAAUUCCUUGUCGGGUAAGUUCCGACCUGCACGAAUGGCGUAAUGAUGGCCAGGCUGUCUCCACCCGAGACUCAGUGAAAUUGAACUCGCUGUGAAGAUGCAGUGUACCCGCGGCAAGACGGAAAGACCCCGUGAACCUUUACUAUAGCUUGACACUGAACAUUGAGCCUUGAUGUGUAGGAUAGGUGGGAGGCUUUGAAGUGUGGACGCCAGUCUGCAUGGAGCCGACCUUGAAAUACCACCCUUUAAUGUUUGAUGUUCUAACGUGGACCCGUUACCCGGGUUGCGGACAGUGUCUGGUGGGUAGUUUGACUGGGGCGGUCUCCUCCUAAAGAGUAACGGAGGAGCACGAAGGUUGGCUAAUCCUGGUCGGACAUCAGGAGGUUAGUGCAAUGGCAUAAGCCAGCUUGACUGCGAGCGUGACGGCGCGAGCAGGUGCGAAAGCAGGUCAUAGUGAUCCGGUGGUUCUGAAUGGAAGGGCCAUCGCUCAACGGAUAAAAGGUACUCCGGGGAUAACAGGCUGAUACCGCCCAAGAGUUCAUAUCGACGGCGGUGUUUGGCACCUCGAUGUCGGCUCAUCACAUCCUGGGGCUGAAGUAGGUCCCAAGGGUAUGGCUGUUCGCCAUUUAAAGUGGUACGCGAGCUGGGUUUAGAACGUCGUGAGACAGUUCGGUCCCUAUCUGCCGUGGGCGCUGGAGAACUGAGGGGGGCUGCUCCUAGUACGAGAGGACCGGAGUGGACGCAUCACUGGUGUUCGGGUUGUCAUGCCAAUGGCACUGCCCGGUAGCUAAAUGCGGAAGAGAUAAGUGCUGAAAGCAUCUAAGCACGAAACUUGCCCCGAGAUGAGUUCUCCCUGAGACUUAAAGUCUCCUGAAGGAACGUUGAAGACGACGACGUUGAUAGGCCGGGUGUGUAAGCGCAGCGAUGCGUUGAGCUAACCGGUACUAAUGAACCGUGAGGCUUAACCUUACAACGCCGAAG
rnacentral:rRNA from 1 species